rnacentral:rRNA from 1 species
UACGUAGGGGGCAAGCGUUGUCCGGAUUUAUUGGGCGUAAAGAGCGUGUAGGCGGUUUGGUAGGUCCGCUGUGAAAACUCGAGGCUCAACCUCGAGACGCCGGUGGAAACCAUCAGGCUAGAGUCCGGAAGAGGAGAGUGGAAUUCCUGGUGUAGCGGUGAAAUGCGCAGAUAUCAGGAAGAACACCCGUGGCUAAGGCGGCUCUCUAGUACGGUACUGACGCUGGGACGCGAAAGCGUGGGGAGCGAACAGG